UACAGAGGGUGCGAGCGUUAAUCGGAAUUACUGGGCGUAAAGCGCGCGUAGGCGGCUUUGCAAGUCGGGUGUGAAAUCCCCAGGCUUAACCUGGGAACUGCAUUCGAGACUGCAUUGCUAGAGUAUGGGAGAGGGAAGUGGAAUUUCCGGUGUAGCGGUGAAAUGCGUAGAUAUCGGAAGGAACAUCAGUGGCGAAAGCGGGUUGCUGGGCCGACACUGACGCUGAGGCGCGAAAGCCAGGGGAGCGAACGGG
rnacentral:rRNA from 1 species